rnacentral:tRNA from 1 species
GCCACGAAAGCUUUAAGAAGCUUCGGUUUUGUAACCCGAGGAUGGUGUUAAUUCACCUCAUGGCU